GUGGCUGAGUGGUAAAGCGCUUGGCUUCUGAACCAUGGGGUCUCUAGUUUAAAUCUAGGC
rnacentral:tRNA from 1 species